rnacentral:rRNA from 1 species
GUAGGUGGCAAGCGUUAUCCGGAUUUACUGGGCAUAAAGGGAGCGUAGGCGGAUAUUUAAGUGGGAUGUGAAAUACCCGAGCUUAACUUGGGAGCUGCAUUCCAAACUGGAUAUCUAGAGUGCAGGAGAGGAGAAUGGAAUUCCUAGUGUAGCGGUGAAAUGCGUAGAGAUUAGGAAGAACACCAGUUGCGAAGGCGGCUCUCUGGACUGUAACUGACACUGAGGCGCGAAAGCGUGGGGAGCAAACAGGAUUAGAUACUCUGGUAGUCCGCACGGUAAACGAUGGAUGCCCGCUGUUGGUCUGAAUAGGUCAGCGGCCAAGCGAAAGCAUUAAGCAUCCCACCUGGGGAGU